CCCCCCCCCCCCCGGGCACUCUCCAUUUUUAACCCUUUAUUCAUCGCUUUCUCCCGUUUACAGCCGCCUCACACGGUGCCCCACACCUUCGUCUUUAUAUGGGGGGAGAGAUGGGGGGGUGUAAAAUAGGAGGGAAGGCUGAAGCCACGACGACCCUUCCCCCCCCCCCCCCCCCCCCCCCCCCCCCCCCCCCCCCCCCCCCCCCCCCCCCCCCCCCCAUCCCCCAUCCAUCACCUCUGCACGGGGGGGAGGGGGAGGGGGAAAAGAUGGAGUCAAAAUGGCCGCCGUCGUCGUGGUAAGGGGGGGGAGGGGGGGGGAGGAUGAUGGCCACCGGGGGGGGCAAGUCUGUUUUUCGGUGAAGAUGGCCGCAGUCUGGAGAGGGCGAGCUGGGCGCCGUGGGGCUGGGGCUGCUGGAGGCCGCUGGAACCAAGAUGGCCACCAUGAUCACGUGCUCAAUGGAACCAAGAUGGCCGCCACGAUCACGUGUUCACUGGAGACAAGAUGGCCGCCGUGUUACAGUGCCAGCUGGAGUCAAGAUGGCCGCCAUGGUGCUUUGUCUACUGGAAUCAAGAUGGCUGCCACGAUGCAUUGUCCACUGAAACCAAGAUGGCCACCAGGAUCAUGAGUCUGCUGGAAUCAAGAUGGCCGCCAUGACGCAGUGUCAGCUGGAGUCAGGAUGGCUGCCACGAUCACGUGUCCACUGGAACCAAGAUGGCUGCCACGAUCACGUGUUCUCUGGAUCCAAGAUGGUCGCCAUGAUCACGUGUCCACUGGAACCAAGAUGGCCGCCACCAUCACGUGUUCUCUGGAACCAAGAUGGCUGCCAUGAUCACGUGUCCACUGGAACCAAGAUGGCCGCCAUGAUCACAUGUCCACUGGAAUCAAGAAGGCCGCCACCAUCACGUGUCCUCUGGAACCAAGAUGGCCGCCAUGAUGCUGUGCUUACAUGAACCAAUAUGGCCGCCAUGAUCACGUGUCCACUGGAGUCAAAACUGCCGCCACGGUCACGUGUCCACUGGAAUCAAAAUGGCCGCCACAAUCACGUGUCCACCGGAUCCAAGAUGGCCGCCGCCAGACGUGAGGUCACCCAGUUGAAAGAUGGCCGCCCCCACCCGACGCCGCCAUUUUCAAGGUUGCCGCCAGCUCCGCCAUUACCGCAUCCAAGAUGGACGCCAGUACCCAUCACAGCUUCCGCUUCAAGAUGGCUGCCCGUCCCCCACAGCUUCCGAUUCAAGAUGGCCGCGGAUGUGACGUCACCGCCCCCCCAGAGGGCGGCCAUGUUGGGCGUUCCGUGGCGGCAAAGCCCAUUGGCCACUUUGGGGUCACGUGGUGACCACCUCGGCCUCAACCCAGUCAGCCAUCUUGAGUCGCCCAUUGGCCAUCUUGGCUUCCCUGUCAGCCAUCUUGGCUCCCCUGUCAGCCAUCUUGGCUCGGUCAGCCAUCUUGGCACCCGAGUCAGCCAUCUUAGCUCGGCCAUCUUGGCCUCCCCGUCAGCCAUCUUGGCUCGGUCAGCCAUGUUAGCUUGGCCAUCUUGGCUCCCCUGUCAGCCAUCUUGGGUGGAGGGAGCGUGCGGAGGGGAGGAGGCUGGAUAGAGGGGGGAAGGGAGGAAGGGGGGGGGGGGGGGGGGGGGGGGGGGGGGGGGGGGGGGGGGGGGGGGGGUCACGUUUUGGCCUUCCUCCCUCGCACGGCUGAUGCCGCCCCGGCCGGGGUUGGGGUCUCGGGGGACCCCGCUGGAGCCCCGGCAGAGGAAGAAGAGGAAGAAGAGGAGGACGAAGAAGGGCGAGCGGCUCCGAGGGCGCAGCGCCGGGGGGGGUUCCUCCUCCUCUUCCUCCUCCUCCUCCUCUUCCUCCUUUUAUUCCCCCCCCUCUGCGGCGGGUUGGGAGGUGGGGGAGGCGGGGGGGGGGCGGGAACCGGGCGGCUCCUUCGGCUCCUCGCCCCCCCACCCCCACUUUCGAUGGAGACCCCCGGGUCGCUCCUCUUCCUCCUCUUGGCCGGGGGGGGCCGCCGGCGUCCGCCUUCAUCCCCGCUGCCUUCAUCCGAUGAGGAAGAGGAGGAGGAGGAAGAGGAAGAACAGGAAGGGGGGGAGGAAGGAGAGGACGGAAGUGGGGGAGGAGGAG
rnacentral:lncRNA from 1 species